UACGGAGGGUGCGAGCGUUGUCCGGAAUCACUGGGCGUAAAGGGCGCGUAGGCGGUGCGAGAAGCGUGUGGUGAAAGCCCGGCGCUCAACGCCGGGUCGGCCGUGGAUACUCUCGGGCUUGAGCUUACUAGAGGCAGAUGGAAUUCCGGGUGUAGCGGUGGAAUGCGUAGAGAUCCGGAAGAACACCGGUGGCGAAGGCGGUCUGCUGGGGUAAUGCUGACACUGAUGCGCGACAGCGUGGGGAGCAAACAGG
rnacentral:rRNA from 1 species